AUUACAAUAGUGUCUAUAGUUACAUUAGCGUCUAUAGUUACAUUAGUGUCUAUAAUUACAUUAGUGUCUAUAGUUACACUAGUGUCUAUAGUUACACUAGCGUCUAUAGUUACACUAGCGUCUAUAGUUACACUAGUGUCUAUAGUUACACUAGCGUCUAUAGUUACAUUAGUGUCUAUAGUUACAUUAGUGUCUAUAGUUACACUAGUGUCUAUAGUUACACUAGCGUCUAUAGUUACAUUAGCAUCUAUAGUUACACUAGUGUCUUUAGUUACACUAGCGUCUAUAGUUACAUUAGUGUCUAUAGUUACACUAGUGUCUAUAGUUACACUAGUGUCUAUAGUUACACUAGCGUCUAUAGUUACAUUAGCAUCUAUAAUUACACUAGUGUCUAUAGUUACACUAGCGUCUAUAGUUACAUUAGCAUCUAUAGUUACACUAGUGUCUAUAGUUACAUUAGUGUCUAUAAUUACACUAGUGUCUAUAGUUACACUAGCGUCUAUAGUUACACUAGUGUCUAUAGUUACAUUAGUGUCUAUAAUUACACUAGUGUCUAUAGUUACACUAGUGUCUAUAGUUACAUUAGUGUCUAUAGUUACACUAGUGUCUAUAGUUACACUAGUGUCUAUAGUUACACUAGUGUCUAUAGUUACAUUAGUGUCUAUAGUUACACUAGUGUCUAUAGUUACACUAGUGUCUAUAGUUACAUUAGUGUCUAUAGUUACACUAGCGUCUAUAGUUACACUAGCGUCUAUAGUUACACUAGUGUCUAUAAUUACAUUAGUGUCUAUAGUUACACUAGCGUCUAUAGUUACACUAGUGUCUAUAGUUACAUUAGUGUCUAUAGUUACACUAGUGUCUAUAGUUACACUAGCGUCUAUAGUUACACUAGUGUCUAUAGUUACACUAGUGUCUAUAAUUACACUAGUGUCUAUAGUUACACUAGUGUCUAUAGUUACAUUAGUGUCUAUAGUUACACUAGCGUCUAUAGUUACACUAGCGUCUAUAAUUACACUAGCGUCUAUAGUUACACUAGUGUCUAUAGUUACACUAGCGUCUAUAGUUACACUAGCGUCUAUAGUUACAUUAGUGUCUAUAGUUACACUAGCGUCUAUAGUUACACUAGCGUCUAUAGUUACACUAGUGUCUAUAGUUACAUUAGUGUCUAUAGUUACACUAGCGUCUAUAGUUACACUAGUGUCUAUAGUUACAUUAGCGUCUAUAGUUACACUAGCGUCUAUAGUUACACUAGCGUCUAUAGUUACACUAGUGUCUAUAGUUACAUUAGUGUCUAUAGUUACAUUAGCGUCUAUAAUUACACUAGCGUCUAUAAUUACACUAGCGUCUAUAGUUACACUAGUGUCUAUAGUUACACUAGUGUCUAUAGUUACAUUAGCGUCUAUAGUUACACUAGUGUCUAUAGUUACACUAGUGUCUAUAGUUACACUAGUGUCUAUAGUUACACUAGUGUCUAUAGAUACACUAGCGUCUAUAGUUACACUAGUGUCUAUAGUUACACUAGCGUCUAUAGUUACACUAGUGUCUAUAGUUACACUAGUGUCUAUAGUUACACUAGUGUCUAUAGUUACACUAGUGUCUAUAGAUACAUUAGUGUCUAUAGUUACACUAGUGUCUAUAGUUACACUAGUGUCUAUAAUUACAUUAGCGUCUAUAGUUACACUAGUGUCUAUAGUUACACUAGUGUCUAUAGUUACACUAGUGUCUAUAGUUACACUAGUGUCUAUAGUUACACUAGUGUCUAUAGAUACAUUAGCGUCUAUAGUUACACUAGCGUCUAUAGUUACACUAGCGUCUAUAGUUACACUAGUGUCUAUAGUUACACUAGUGUCUAUAGUUACACUAGUGUCUAUAGUUACACUAGCGUCUAUAGUUACACUAGUGUCUAUAGUUACACUAGUGUCUAUAGAUACAUUAGCGUCUAUAGUUACACUAGCGUCUAUAGUUACACUAGCGUCUAUAGUUACACUAGCGUCUAUAGUUACACUAGUGUCUAUAGUUACACUAGCGUCUAUAGUUACACUAGCGUCUAUAGUUAUGGAGCUCCAUCCAGCUGGCAUACAUGCACAAUUCAAUGUGAGUAAAGUGCCUUGGCCAAGGACACAACAAGCGGGAUUUGAACCCCCAACCCACUCUCCCACUGAGCCACGGUCACCCACGGUCAUGUUGCAGCAUGAUAAUGCACGGCCUCUGUUGAAAACAUCCCAGAUGUUGAAUGACCAGCACAGUCAGUGGUCAUGUGACCCAUUGAGAAUGUUUAGGAUGCUCUGA
ensembl:lncRNA